CCUGAUCCUCUGCAAUUGCUGUCACAGAUGCAUUCCUGGAGCAAGCUGUGUCAUAUCAACAGUUUGUGGACAACCCCGCUAUUAUCGAUGACCCCAAUCUCGUGGUAAAGAUUGGGAGUAAAUAUUAUAACUGGACAACAGCAGCACCCCUCCUCCUGGCAAUGCAGGCCUUCCAGAAACCUUUGCCAAAGGCCACUGUGGAAUCUAUCAUGAGGGAUAAAAUGCCCAAAAAGGGAGGAAGAUGGUGGUUUUCAUGGAGAGGAAGAAACACCACAAUCAAGGAGGUAAGCCCAGAAGACAAAGCAGUGCUCACACUUAGCAAGUUUUGGUUUUGUGUAGUGAGAUUGGUUUUCAUGUACUUACAUCAGAGAAAUGAACAUAGGCCCUAGUGCUGAGUUUCCAUGAGCCAGCUCUGCCAUGAAGUAGGGCGAGUGCUCGUGGAAUGUGGGGAAGGUGGGGAGGAAGGUCAGGAGCCAGCAGCAUAGGCGUCACCUCCUGGCUCUGUAACCAUUGGGAGACUGUGGUCCAGUCACUCCCUCAUGGUAAGAUUUCGUCAUCUAUAAAAGAAGGGAUUCAGCCUGGGAAUUCAGUUUCUUAAGAAAUUAAAUAUCUUCCUUCUGCUUGUGG
rnacentral:sRNA from 1 species